GACGAACGCUGGCGGCGUGCUUAACACAUGCAAGUCGAACGGAAAGGCCCUGCUUUUGUGGGGUGCUCGAGUGGCGAACGGGUGAGUAACACGUGAGUAACCUGCCCUUGACUUUGGGAUAACUUCAUGAAACUGGGGCUAAUACCGGAUAGGAGCUCCUGCUGCAUGGUGGGGGUUGGAAAGUUUCGGCGGUUGGGGAUGGACUCGCGGCUUAUCAGCUUGUUGGUGGGUUAGUGGCUUACCAAGGCUUUGACGGGUAGCCGGCCUGAGAGGGUGACCGGCCACAUUGGGACUGAGAUACGGCCCAGACUCCUACGGGAGGCAGCAGUGGGGAAUAUUGCACAAUGGGCGGAAGCCUGAUGCAGCAACGCCGCGUGCGGGAUGACGGCCUUCGGGUUGUAAACCGCUUUCGCCUGUGACGAAGCGUGAGUGACGGUAAUGGGUAAAGAAGCACCGGCUAACUACGUG
rnacentral:rRNA from 1 species